GCGCGUGCGCGUCGCGUCGGACGGCACUGCAGAAGCAGGCGAGUUCGCGAGUAUAUCGAUUUUACGAUCGUGCCUCUCGCGGUACUAGUGCGUCCGUUUCCUUUAGUUUUUUAGUGGCCGUGCACGUCGUACAUGGAUAAAACCGUGAAUGGGAUUACCCGCUAGACCCGCCGCUCCGUACACCGCCCGCUGACUCACAACUCCUCGUCAUCCUUCACCAUGACCAAGGAUAGAUUAGCAGCCCUCGUCGCGGCUCAGUCGGACGACGACGAUGUGGCGGACGACGUGUCCGUCAACGUCGGGGCGCCGGAUGACUUCAUGACGGAAUUCUUCGCGGAGGUGGAGGAGAUCCGCGAAAUGAUAGAUAGGAUCCAGACGAACGUGGAAGAUGUGAAGAAAAAGCACAGCGCCAUCCUCUCCGCGCCGCAGACCGACGAGAAGGUAAAAAUGGAACUCGAGGACCUGAUGUCCGACAUAAAAAAAACUGCUAACAAAGUGAGAGCCAAGUUAAAGGUGAUAGAGCAGAACAUCGAGCAGGAAGAGCAUACGAACAAAUCGUCGGCGGACCUGAGGAUACGCAAGACCCAGCACUCGACGUUGUCUAGGAAGUUCGUCGAGGUGAUGACGGAGUACAAUCGGACACAGACCGAUUACAGGGAGCGGUGUAAGGGGAGAAUACAACGACAGCUCGAGAUCACGGGUAGAACGACCACUAAUGAGGAAUUGGAGCAGAUGUUGGAGCAAGGAAAUCCGGCCGUCUUCACGCAAGGGAUCAUCAUGGAGACGCAACAAGCAAAACAGACCCUCGCGGACAUCGAAGCGCGUCACGCUGACAUCAUUAAACUCGAAAACUCGAUCAGGGAGCUCCACGAUAUGUUUAUGGAUAUGGCCAUGUUGGUCGAGAGUCAGGGUGAAAUGGUGGACUGCAUUGAGUACUGCGUCAAUCAGACCAGCGACCACGUGGGCCAAGCACGGGGCGAGCUGAUCAAAGCCGAAGAUUAUCAGACCAAAUCUCGUAAGAAAUUGUUCCUGAUAGCGAUCUGCGUGACGAUAGUGGUCGUCAUUCUAAUUAUUAUUUUGGUAGUUAGCUUGAAAUAGAAUAUGCGCGCGCGCAACGCGCUUACGCCGAGAAACGAACACACAAACACUCGCAGAGUAUAAGGAUUAACGGGAACGCAAACUGAAAAAGACAAACGAACAAGCCGGAAUACACACAGAGAGAGAGAGAGAGAGAGAGAGAGACGCGAAGAUACUUCCUUUGAUCUCCUCUCGUCGAAGGACGGUCAGCCAGGAUCGCGACGGAGAUCAGCGAUCUCCUCCGAUCUCUCUCUCAUGGGGGAGUUCUGAUGAGAAAGAGAAACGCGCGACGUGUGUCGCGAGUUCCAUAGUCGUCAAGAUAUACAUAUAUCGCCUUCGGCACUUCCGCGAGUGUCGCGUUACAUUUAUUUAUUAUUGAUGAUUAAUAAAUUUUAUGCGUCUUUUAUUUAUUAUUGCUUCGUAACACAACACCGUCGAUCGAUCGCGCGCGCGCGCGCGCGCGGACGACGAUCCGCGAUGGUGAUUAGACUGAUUAAAGUCCGACUCGCGGCCGUCGUGACUCCUGGGGGAAGCCAGGAACGGUGACAGGACCACGCGGACACGCGCGCUGGACCUCGAUUGCACCAAGUUGGCAAACGGCGAACGCGGGCUCUGCCCACUGCGCCUCAAUAUGCCAUAGCCGAUCCCCUUCUCUCGUUUUUAUUCGAACGCACGCUGCCUUUUGUUAUUUUCUGGCACUUCGCCGUUCCUGGUGACCGCAGGGCGAGGACGAAAAGCAAAGAUCGCGACCGGUAACGCCGUCCGAGAUUCAUGCGCGACGACACCUUGGGGACCGAAAACGUGCGCCCUUUGCCGAAUCCGAGUUUCGGGAGAUGCUCGCCGGCGAAGCAUGUCUCAGUUAUGCGAGAGCGGAUUGCAACGGGAAACGAGUUUCCGCUCCGUCCGUCUACCUUUGUCCUCGUCGACAAUCGAUUCGUCGUCGACAGAGGUAUGCGAGACGAAGUGUCACGACAGACGCGGCGAAGAAAGAGAGUUGUUCUCAAUCCGAGCGCAACCAGACUGAAAGACGCUCGUGGACGCUUCCGGUCCAGAGAGAUCGACCUGCUCGCGACAGGAGCGAAGGAGGUCGGGCCGGCCUCUAGCAUAGCUGGCGCUCUAGUCCAGUCUCUCUAGGCUUCCGCCUCGGCGCGACGCAUCUCGCGACAGGUGCACGCUCUAAUGAACAAAUAUCGAUUCGCCCGACGAGCUCUAAUCACCGUCGCAGUGCUGGCCGCGCGCGCGUUGUACGUGUAAAUAAAAUCGCAGACUGUAUGGAGCGAGGACAAUGAUAACGAGGGGAAAUGAGGAGAAAUUGCGAUAACGAGGAGGAAAGGAGAUGAGAGGCGAGAGGAAGGAAGAAAGAGAGUAUUAAUAGUUAAGCGUUAGUAGGAAUCUUUUUCUCUUGGGGUGUUGUUCAGCGUUUCAAGCAGCUCUUGGACAAGAGGAGGGCGGCGUCGCGUCGUCCGUCGUCCUCCCUUCUCCGUCACGUUUGUUGUUGUAUACUUGCCGCCGAAAAAAAGAAAAAAAAAAUAUAGAAACACAGAAACAAAUAAUAAUUGUACGUGAAUGAGAGAUAUGCUGAUCAAAAAACGAAGAGCGAUCGGCCGGUGCCGAGAUCACGCGAGAUCAGUAAGAAUUGUGGAGCCAGGACGGACCGCGAUUCGCGUGACAAGUGCAAAUUGGUAGAACUCUAGUGAAGUUGUGCAAGCCCGCGGAGAGACAGAGGGGCAGAGUAACAUGGGACGAAGCGGGAGAACGCGUCCGGAGUCAGGGGGUGCGUCGUGGGAGCCGGAUGGAAGAAGCCGAGGGAGAAAAAUGCGGACUCGCUGAUGGCGAGAAGAUAACGCGCAGGUCAGUAUCGCCGACCUUCCCGUCUGUGGCUGAUCCUCGACUCCUGUCUUACCUGAUCCUCCCCUCGUUGCGGCAAGAAGCAUGAGAUUUCGAGAUGAUUUAUUUACCUGUACUUGUGCUCAACGAGCGCUUCUGAGCUGAUUGACUGUACCGACGCAUCGACUGAUGCUUUUCUGAUUCCAUUCUGAUCGUGUCUUUUACUAUGCGUGCCAAAGAGCACUGAUACAGCUUGAAAUUCGUGUGAAACGCCCAAUCGUUGACAUUCCCCUAAGACGUUGACACUUUGGAGAAAACCUGGUUCAUCACGUCAGUAUCAUUGUAAAUGCCGUUCAAUUUAUUGCCUGCAUUCAAUGAUUUUAAAGGAGCUAAAACUGAACAUUUGGUCACAAGUUGCCAUUUGGUCGCAGGGAAGACUAGACUUUUCCAGAAAAUCAGACUAAGAAAAGAAUCAAUAAUUGGAUGUUUCACUCCUGCACACUGAAAGCAAAAGUAUCUAAUAGAUAAAAAGUAUUUAUUCGAUAAAUACUGAUAUUUACUUGCAAUGAUAUAAAAUGUUUUUCAAAUAAGAAAAUGUGUAUUUUUUUGAAAUAUUCCCUCAGCUUUUCAUCAAAGCAAUUGUUUAUUCUCUAUUAAAAAAAAAUAAUUUAGACAAAUUGGUUAUUGGUAUCCAUCGAAUAAAUGUUUUUUUUAUUUUCUAGAUUUUUUCUAUUAUUUUAAUUUUAAUUUUUUUUUAUUUUUUAUUCUUUUUCUCAAAACGUACAUUGUCCAUCUGCAAUUAGUCAAUCAUCCGAAUCGAAGCGUUGGUGCAACUCGGCUCUGGGCAACUCGCGAGUUUGUCCGUCGAGAACGUCCUCUCGACCGUGCAAACGCGAUUUCCGCCGCUCGCAGGCACCCCGACACUGACGCGUAAUUUUUUACGCAGGAUCCAUUGCAACCUUGUGCCGGCGCCAAGCAAGAUCCGAUUUCUUUCAGGUGCUCUCCCACGACACGAUAGGUUGAUAAUAAAAUAAACCUUUAUAAUGUAGCGUAAUCGUUGCGGACAAAGGCGUCGAGCAGUGUGGGUUUUCUCGAGUUUCACAGGAAGAGAGCAGAAAGACGGUAGAGGGUGAGAGAAUGAGAGUGACAGAGAGAAAGAGAGAGAGAGGGGGAGAUAGAGAGAAAAAGAAAUGGAUAAGUAGAUAGGUGAGAGAGUAGAGUUCAGGGGAGAGAGCGUUGUGAGUGAGAUGUAUAUAUGUAUAUAGAGACAAGAAAAGAGGAGCGAGAGCUUUGUAGCCGAUUGUAUUAAACACUUUUACCGGUCUGUUAAUGCCGAAUGCAGAAGAAGAUCAUGAUCAUGAUUUGCCUCACCGUACUGGGCAUCGUCGUCGCCACCACCAUCGGUGGAUACUUCGGACUGUGAACGCCAAAACCAGAGAAGUCCAAAGACAUCAGCAUCGUGUACCUAAUUCCAAACCGCCGGCAGUAUCAGCAUUCACUCAUAUCGGCCCGAUACGUGAAGCUGAUCGCCGUCGGGACGAGAGGAGAUCACUGUCGAAGGUGCCACCGGCGCGCUUUUACCAUAACACCCGUCAUCGCUAGAGCCUGCAGUCUAUCACGCGCGCUUCCCAGCUCGACGCGAGAGAAACUCACGAGAGGAGAAAUCGGAACACCAUCGUCGUCAUCGUCGACGUCGCCGUCGUCGUCAUCGUGCUCGUCGUCAUCGUCGUGGUCGUCGUCGCCGUUGUCGUCGUCGUUAUGUUUGCGCCAUCCUCGUCGGGAGUCUCCUCCGCGGUACCUAAGCUAGCGUUAGUUGCGUUCGACUCGACGUAUGAGUAGAGAGGAGAGAGAAGAUAGAGCAUCCCCCUCGUUCUUUUGUAAUCCACGUAGCUCAGUCGACAAUUUCCCCGACAAAUCAGCCUUCGUUAACCAAGUCUCAGCCUCGAGCCUGCCCCCGCUCGCUCUUGCCACUCAGCCCCACGUUAGCGCGCAGCUUAGACUGUAAGCUCUAUUUGUGCGUGCGUUCUCGUCGGUCCUUCUUUCCUUUCCUUUCCCAGCCCGUCCACCUUUCCCGAAUCACACGGCGAAGACGAGAUAACGGACGACAAGCAAGGAGGACUUCGCGAGCGGGCCGGGCUGUAUAAACGAGACGCUUGUUUAGAAUGCGACUAGAACUGUCGACCGGAGAUAUGCGCCGUCGGGACGACGUCUCCGAUCGGCACAUCAGACAACGCGUCGUCUUAUCGACAGGACGGCUGUCGACACGAGGACACUGCCGGUGUUUCCCCCCUUUACCUGCCCCGUCCUCAUCAUCAUCAUCAUCAUCAUCAUUGUCAUUAUCCUUCUUCUCACCCAUCCAUGUGCGUGUCACAAGGACGUGCACAUUGUCAUCGAGUCACCCUGACGAGACUCGCGUCUCGUCGCUAAACGCAACCCCUCUUCGCGGUGUUCACCCACCCAGGCCCACCUCGAGUCCCCGUCACACGAGCCUGAUGACCCAAUGGUGCUUUUCUGUGUAACGCGAAGGCGAUCGGGAGCGUUUAUGCCACAUCACCCCCCGCGGCGCACAUCCGCCUUCUUGCCGAAAGUAACGCACGCACCACGGUGCCGCCGCUCGAGCCGGGUUUCUUUGACUGUGAUUUGCACACCGAGCUUGGGACGAGUCGCGCUUCCCUGUCACAUUCUGAAAAUCCGCGCCCAAAAGUCCGCGCGCGAUCUCGCUCCGGUUAUUAUUAUUAUACGUACGAUUAGACACGUCAGAAAGGAAGAGAGAGAGAGAGAAAGAGAGACAAACCGCUGUCCGAACACGCUAAAUUCGCGACACACACACACACACAUAUACACAUCACACGCACACACGCACGCAUACGUGAUACGUGAAAUUGCAAUUUCCGCUAGAGCGACCCCCGCGGGCGCGCGACACAUCGCUGAAUUAACGAUACUAAUUAGCAGUAGCGCUCGCGAUAAUUGUAAUAAGCGAGAUUUCCACUCGGUACACUCGUGCGCGGAGAACGUCCUGUGAGAUCUCUUUCGUAAAAAUCGAGGAAAGUCUAGGAGGAACUUAGCGGGUGAACCGUUGAGACGCGGUGCCGUGAUCUGGCUGGCGGUGUUAACUUGAGAGUUACGUGAGCCAGUCGAAACGCUGAUCAAGCGACACGCCGCUGAUCCGGCCGCUACGAGUCCAUCUCUUUGGCGCGCUGACAUCCCCCAGCGGUUUACCCCUUGGCUAUAUACAUAUCACGCGACCUCGAGAGUAACGUUUUCGACACUAUCCAACUACACCUCUCUCUGUAUUCGGACGAUCGCGAUGGAGUCUCGGCCGGGCGAGAGCCCUUCCUUCAGGCGGGGUUUUCGAGCUGACCGGUGGCUGACCGAUUGACGACGGUUGAUUGAUGACUGGCCGAACGUAAGUUUCUCUCAGGGUGAGGUCUUGCUGGAAACGAGCGGAACUCCAGACAGAACAGCACCGCGACCGGAUCGUGGCUCAUGAAGCAAUAUCUCCCUCUGUCUGGGACGGCGCGAGCGGACGAAGAAAAGGCAGUCGAUACUUGUACAGGUAGAUCGGAGGUCCUAGCUUCGUGUAAUAUUAAUUAAUAUCGAUCACAUGCAAGGCUUACAUUACGACUAGAUUUUCCACCGUUAUCCGCAGCCUACUUAUCACCUAGUGAGUACGAGGUAUCGCCCCGAGCGGAUUUAGCCGAGCGAGAAUAAUGCAGGUCGGUGCACAACCGAGUUCUCGGAGAGUCACUUGAUUAUAAUUUACGACGCGAUGUUGAAGGCGAUUAUAUCGACGUCGGAGCGAUGUGACUUUUAUAACGGGUACCUUUGAUUAUAUAGCGCGCGAAAAGGGCGUUGUAUACACGUAAAAAAACCACACACCACGUGCAUCCACGUACACACGCACACACACAUCUACACACGCGCACGCACGCACGCGCUCUGUAUCUCGUUCGUUGUGUGAUCAUCGUAGCUCACUCGGAGAAGGUGUUACGACCAAUAGGUGUUCAGUGUGAAAGGAACAAUCAAUUCUUCCGAUAUUUCUAUUUAGCUGUAAUUAGCGGAAUCAAUUGCGAUAUAGCGAGGUGUAGAGUCAAGGAAGCGGCCGUGUCUCCGCGCGGGCACGGCCGCGCGCCGUUCAGAAUCUUCUUCCGCGUUGUUCGCGUCGCGCGACAUUUUUGGAAUGUGACCGAGAGAGCGACGAGACGAAUGUUCAACGAGCACGUCAUAAAUUUAGGGUAUAGGUUUUCAUUGUACGGCAUAAGUGCGCUAUUAGGUUCUCGUCUCUUGCUUUUCGUACGUUCUCCAUCUUACCUUCACGCGAGAUGCUUUCACCGAUGUUUCGCGUAGGUUCAUUCGUCUUCAAUUUCGUGUUGCACAAAACGCCAUUAGGUAUUGGGUAUUACUAACAAUAACGGAUCCUCAACCGCGAUUCUCUGCCUUGGACACGACAGUUGUUUCGCGCCUUCCGUUAUCUCGACGAACCCUCGGCAAGCAGCGACAACCUUACGCUGUCUCUUCGAAGCGCCUUCGCUUCACGAGUGCACAAUGACUUUCCUUUGUACCCCGCUCGUUUCUUCGCCGUUGAUUGGCCCCCUGCAUUGUUCGCGAAGCCGCGCAAACCAGAAAAUUACUCGCUGAUUGAUCUCACUUUCUCGCUUGCUUCUGCUCUGUUUUUCUUUCCAGUUUAGCGCGUGGAUCCGAAAGCCAUUGUCGCGUCCGGCCAAGUGACUUCGGGUCGCCCUCCAUUGUUUCGCGCGUAGGCGAAAUUUCUUUCUUUUCCCUUUCACUUCGCCGUUUCACACGAGGGUUCUCGAAAAUCGAGUAUGCGAAAGGCGCACCACCUUCGAAACGGUUAACCCCAACAACGUGGACAAAGGAAGAGAGGGCAUGAUAAGUGGAAAGGAGCAACAGAGUAUGAAAGGUGGAAUGAAUGUGUGAGAGGGAGAGAAAGUGUGCGAGUCUGAGAAACAGAAGAAACAGCCACUAAGGCUGCAGCAAUAAUAUAAAUAUAUAUAUAGGUGUUACGAAAAAAAAAAAUAUAUAUAUAUAUAUAUAAAAGUAAAGAUAUCCCAUUGGCGGCGAGCAAGAAUGAGUUAAAUGCGAGCGAUAUUGUAUGUACACGGGCAUGUAUACAUAUAUAUACAUAUUAAUAUAUACAUAUAUAUAUAUGUAUGCAUAUGUAGGUAGAUAGGUAGAUGGCAUGUAUGGUCGAGGAGAGAAUAACAAUAUUAAUAACGACAAUUAUUAUAUCGGCAGCCUAUAUCGCUCCUCGACAGAUUGAAUAACCUGUAUCGCACGGAGUACUGGCGGCGUUAUAUAAUGUUAAUGUUUUGUUGAGUAUAUAUUAUAUUAUUACGAACGUUGAGGUGCAUACGCAUUCAGAAGAUUAUGGGUUAGUGUUUAAGAGAGGAAAGAAGAGAGAGAGAGAGAGAGAGAGAGAGAGAGAGAGGGAGGAGAAAAGAGAAAGAGAGAGAUAAACAGACAAGCGAAAUAGCAGUGAAUGAUUUACGCAUCGCACCGCAGUGUGCGUUGCUGUAAUGAUUAAUAUUAAAAUACUAAUAAUAAUAACGAUGACUCUAAAUAUAUAUAUAUAUAUAUACAUAUUAAGAGAUCACCUUGCAUUGUACAGAAAGCAUAAUAAUUGUUAGUUUAGGUAGAACGAAACAUUACUAAUCUACUAAUCUGAUUAUCCAGUACGACUAAGGUGGCUAAGAUUCUGAACGCGUCAUCCCCCUCUGUGACACGCGAGUUACGACGGUCGUCGAUAGGGUAUCACCCUUUGAUCAUCCGGCUAAUUAAUAAAUUUCGUUGAGGAGAACGUCUCCGCUCGUCGAGAAACGUCGCGUUGCGCGUCGGAGUGAUGAAGAGUACGAAAGGAAGAAAUAGAAAGAAAGAGUAGCCUUUCGGCUAUUCCGAGGAGAGAUUUCAUAUUCGGAGCAGAAGCGACUGCAAUCUCGCGUUACAGAUGUCUCCAGGUGUCACCUCGCGAGUCGCGAGCGUUCUACCUCGUUUUACCGUUUGAUUCGCAUUAAAUUUCUCGCAGAGCGCGAUCUCACUACGUAGAAUUCACGAUCGCCUUACACUUUCGCCACGGACGACGCGCCGCGUUCGCGGAUCUCCGUUCGCGACGAGCCCGACGAAAAUUCGAAACGCUCUGCCGCGAAGAUCCCCGACCGCGGCGCGGACCGCCGUCCGCGAUUGGACGCAACCGCGAAUCUCGUGACUUAGCUUCUCGUAGCGGACUCUUCGUGGUAGGAAUUGAGAAGAAUUGUGAGGAAACCAAGUGUCGUCAAUUUCUUAUCGCUAGAUAAUGAGAGAAAGGGAGAGAGUGUGAGAGAGAGAGAGAGAUUUUAGACAAGUAACGUUCUAGUUUAUUCGACACGCAGAAGCCUGUUGAUCGUAAGUUAAACGAAUCUGGCCUAAAGAUGUAGGGAACGUCGCGUCUCCUCGUUAACUACCGAUCGAUCGAUCGAUCCAUCCGCGACGUUCAUCCCCGUCGUCGUGCGGCGACGUCGCGGCUGGACGUCCGGAUGCGUCUUGAUCGUCUCUCUGUCAAUGUGGUCUCUUGGAUGUCUUUACGUCGCUUUCGAGCCCGCACGUUUCAGUCCCCCGGGUCUUUCCCUCUGUUCCCCUUUGCGCGCUCGCGAUUUCGUCGUCACAUCGUCGUCAUUUUGUCAUAAGACGCAAGGAAGCACACACACAAUGCCGGACGGUUAAGAGACAACGGCGAACUGCACAUUCGGUCGCUCUGUCGCUCGUUAGGAUCGCGUAUCGGAGACAUUGUCGGGUUUCAAUACGCUCGUGUAUCUUGCGCGAAAACGUCUCGCGUUUUCCCUCGCGAGUGUCUCAGACUUUUAGAUAGCUAAUUGCGGAAGCUGACCCGUCUUCCUUGAUAAACCGUGCUCUCGUCGGCUCGAGCGUACGCUGCUCUUUUCGAUCUCCUUCUUCCUCCUCCCCUCCCCCUCCACUCUGUUCCCCGCGAAGAAAAAGCAGCGAUUUGAAAAGAUGAAGAUGAGAGAGAAAAGAGGAAAAGCGCAGCGAACGCGUCGAGGGACGAGAACCACAAAGAGAAACAUAAUGAGUGACAAAGUCGGACACACACAAUAUUCCCGUGUUCUCGAUAUAUCGUAUAUUUACCCGCCCGCGAUUAGCCGGAAUAUAUCUCGCUGGAGUUCGAAUAAUGAAGUGGAGUGAGGGAGAAGAAAGAGAGAGAGAGAGAAAUAAAAGGAGAAGCAGAAGGGACAUCGUUAAUCGUUGAAUACGCUAUUCCAUUGCAUUUGUACGUAGAGUAGAAUAGAAAAAUUGCGCAACGGAUCGAUCUGCGUAGGGAUCUCUUCGGACACACGCGAUCCGAUUUUCGAAUGUAUAGAUAAGUUCUAGAGAUACACGUACAAGUACGAGAAGAGGGGAAAGUGGGAGCGGGAGGAAGAGGGGAACAUGCGCGAUCGAGUCCGCGAAUACAUGGAUCGGUGUCAUGUCGGUGCAAUUAUUAAUACGAGUGGCCAUUAAUCAAUAACCUUAUAAGUGUCAAUUCCACUUUUAAGUGUAAAUCGUAAUUUCGUGAGAGUUUUAAGAGAAAAGAAUUAGAAAAGAAAGGAGCUAGAGAGAAAAAGGGGAAGGGAGACAGGUGUGAUGUGGCGUCAAACGACAACUGGAUAGAAGAGAAUCUCAAAUGGUUUAACGUAAAAAAAAAAAUAAGGGUUGCGCGCGGAUCUCGCCGACGCGCGACACAGUGAGAUUACUGAUAAACUUAAUUUAUCGAGAUCGAGAAAUAGAAAGAAAAUACAUUAGGAGAGAAAGGGAGCGAUAGAGAGAGAGAAAGAGAGAGAGAGAGAGAGAGAGAGAGAGAGAGAGAGAGAAAGUAUGUGUGCGCGCGUGUGUGUGCGUGUAUGUGCGUGAGUGUGCGUGAGAAACAAUGAAAGAUGCAUUGGAACAGAAAAGAAGAGAAAAAAAACGAAAAAAAAAAAGACAGAAACUAAACCGUAGCACAGGCAGAACGUAACAGAGAUAACGGAUACUUUUUAUCGUAGGUAUUUCAUAGGUGAGAUUCAUAAAAAUAAUAAUAAUGAUAAUUAAAGAAAAAAAGAGAUUAACGCAUUUAACGAAUACGAGAGUACUUACUGAGGGAAAAGUAAAAAAAAAAAAACAUUCAACGGCGUUUUUCUCUGCCUAUGCGUAUUAUUAUCCGGCGUCUCGCGCCCACUUCUGCGUGUCGUCGUCGUCGUCGUCGUCGUCAUGCGAGCGCUGUGCGUAAUGCUCCGCGCGCGCGCGUGCGAGAAAUUCUAAUAAUUGCCGAAGAAAUAAUAAGAGCCGGAAGAUAAAGCCGAAGAAUAACAGAGUGAUAAAAAAGGAAAAUAGCAGACGCGAUGAUUAACCAGGCAUCCUUGCGUUCUUGUCUCUAACACGAUUAAAUACUAUUACUACUGCUACUACUACUAUUACUACUACUACAACUAUUACUAUUAUUAUUAUCAUCAUUGACACUGUACAAAAUUGGCAAUAAUCUUAAGAGGUCCCCCUUGAA